AGGUGGCUUUGGCGUGCUCAGCCGGUUGGUUCUAGCAUGUCUGGAAGGUGGUUCCGUUCUCUAUGGUAGGUGGUUCCGGCGUGUCCGGCACAUGGUUCUGGCACGUCUGAGAGGUGGUUCCGUCAUGCCCGUCAGGUGAUUCCGGAGUGUCUCCCAAGUGGUUCUGGCUUACUCGGCAGGUGAUUUUGGCGUGUCUGGCAGGUGGUUCCAGCGAGUUGAGCAGGUGUUUCCUGCGUGCUCGCCAGGUGGUUUAGGCGUGUCCUGAAGGUGAUUCUGGAGUGUCCGCCAAGUGGUUCCGGUGUAACAGGCAGGUGAUUUUGGCAUGUUCGGCAGUUGGUUCCAGCAAGUCGAGCAGGUGGUUAUGGUGUGCUUGGUAGGGUAUUCAGGCGCGUCCGGCAGAUCAUUCCGGUAUGUCUGGGAGGUGGUUCUGGUGAGUCGAGCAGGUGGUUUCGGUGAGCUCAGCAGGUGCUUCCGGCGUUCCCAGCAUGUGGUUCUGGCAUGUCUGAGAGGUGGUUCCGGCAUGCCCGGCUGGUGAUUCCGAACUGUCUGCCAAGUGCUUCUGGCAUAGCCAGCUGUUGAUUGUGGUGUGACCAGGAGGUCGUUCCAGCGAGUCGAGCAGGUGGUUCUGGCGUGCUUGGCAGUUGGUUCAGGUGUGUCCGGCAGGUGGUUCUGGUCUGUUCAGGAGGCGUUACCGUCAUGUCCGGCAUGUGGCUGUGUCACGUCUGAGAGAUGGUUCCGGCAUGCUCGGCAGGUGAUUCCAGAGUUUCUGCAAAGUGGUUCUGGCGUAACCGGCAGGUGAUUUUGGCAUGUCCGGCAGGUGGUUCUGGGGAGUGGAUCAGGUGGUUCAGGAAUGCUCAGCAGGUUGUCCAGGCGUUUCGGGCAGGUAGUUCCAGUCUGUCCAGUAGGUGCUUUUGCUGUGUCCCGCACAUGAUUCUGGCACUUCUGAGAGGUGGCUCCAGCAUGCCCAGCAGGUGAUCCCGGACUGUCCCCCAUGUGGUUCUGGCGUACCCGGCAUGUGAUUUUGGCGUGUCCAGAACGUGGUUCUGGUGAGUCGAGCAGGUGGUUCUGGCGUGCUGGGCUGGUGGUUCAGGCAUGUCAGGCAGGUUAUUCCUGUCUGUCCGGCAGGUGGUUCUGGCGUGCUCGGCAGGUGCUUCCGGCGUCUCCGGCACGUGCCUCUGGCACGUCUGAGAGGUGGUUCCAGCAUGCCCGGCUGGUGAUUCCACAGUGUCCGGCAAGUGGUUCUGGUAAAGCCGGCAGGUGAUUUUGGCAUAUCUGGCAGGAGGUUCCGGUGAGUCGAGCAGGUGGCUUCGGCAUCCUCGGCAGGUGGUUCCGGCGUGUCCAGUUGGUGGUUCCUGCCUGUACGGUAUGUCCUUCUGGCGUGUCUGGCAUGUAGUUGUGGCACAUCUGAGAGGUGGGUCUGGUAUGCAAGGCAGGUGAUUCCGGAGUGUCCGGCAAGUUGGUCUGGUGUAGCCAACAGGUGAUUUUGGCAUGUCCAGAACGUGGUUCCAGCGAGUCGAGCAGGUGGUUCCGGUGUGCUCGGCAGGUGCUUCCGGUGUCAUUGGCAUGUGGUUCUGGCAUGUCUGAGAGGUGGUUCAGGCAUGCCCGGCAGGUGAUCCUGGAGAAUCCUCCAAGUGGUUCUGGCAUAGCCGGCAGGUGAUUUUGGCAUGUCAUGCAGUUUUUUCUGGCAAGUCAAGCAGGUGGUUCCAGCAUGCUCGCCAGGUGGUUCUGGCGUGUCCGGUACAUGGUUCCAGGACGUCUGAGAGGUGUUUCCGGCAUGCCCGGCAGGUGAUUCCGGAGUGUCCGACAAGUGGUUCCGGCGUGCUCGGCAGGUGAUUUUGAAAUGUUCGGCAGGUGGUUAUGGCGAGGCGAGAAGAUGAGUCCAGCGUGCUCAGCAGGUGGUUCCGGCGUGUACGGCACAUGGUUCUGGCACGUCUGAGAGGUGGUUCUGGGAUGCUCGGCAGGUGAUUCUGGAGUGUCCGCCAAGUGGUUCUGGCGUAGCCGGCCGCUGGUUCAUGCGUGUCUGACAGGUGGUUCCGGUCUGUCCAGGAGGUGGUUCUGGCAUGUCCAGCAUGUGGUUCUGGCAUGUGUGAGACAUGGUUCCAGCAUGCCCAGAAGGUGAUCCGGAGUGUCGGCCAAGUGGUUCUGGCAUAGCUGGCGGGUGAUUUUGGCAUAUCCGGCAUGUGGUUCCAGCGAGUGCAACAGGUGGUUCCGGCGUGCUCGGCAGCUGGUUCCAGCGUGUCCGGAAUGUGGUUUUGGCACGUCUGAGAGGUGGUUCUGGCAUGCCUGGCAUGUCUUUCCACACUGUCCGCCACGUGGUUCCGGCAUGCCCGGCAGGUGAUCCCAGACUGUCCCCCAGAGGGUUCUGGCGUAGGCGGCAGGUGACUUUGGCGUGUCCAGCAGGUGGUUCUGGUGAUUCGAGCAGGUCAUUUCAGCAUGCUGGGCUUGUGGUUCAGGCGUGUCUGGCAGGUUGUUCCGGUAUGUCCAGGUGGUGGUUCCGGGGUGUGUGGCAGGUGGUUCCUGUCUGUCCGGGAGGUGGUUCCGGCGUGCUUGGCAGGUGGUUGGGGCAGGUCCGGCAGGUGGUUCAGGUCUGUCCGGGAUGUGUUUCCGGCGUCUCAGGAACAUGGUUCUGGCACAUCUGAGAGGUGGUUCCGGCAUGCCCAACAGGUGAUUCCGGACUGUCCUCCACGUGGUUCUGGCAUAGCCGGCAUUUGAUUUUGACGUGUCUGUCAGGUGGUUCCGGCGAGUCAAGCAGGUGGCUCCGGCAUGCUCGGCAGGUGGAUCCGCGUGUCCGUGAG
rnacentral:lncRNA from 1 species